GACGAACGCUGGCGGCGUGCCUAAUACAUGCAAGUAGAACGCUGAAGGAGGAGCUUGCUUCUCCGGAUGAGUUGCGAACGGGUGAGUAACGCGUAGGUAACCUGCCUGGUAGCGGGGGAUAACUAUUGGAAACGAUAGCUAAUACCGCAUAACAGUAGAUAUUGCAUGAUAUCUGCUUGAAAGGUGCAAUUGCAUCACUACCAGAUGGACCUGCGUUGUAUUAGCUAGUUGGUGGGGUAACGGCUCACCAAGGCGACGAUACAUAGCCGACCUGAGAGGGUGAUCGGCCACACUGGGACUGAGACACGGCCCAGACUCCUACGGGAGGCAGCAGUAGGGAAUCUUCGGCAAUGGACGGAAGGCUGACCGAGCAACGCCGCGUGAGUGAAGAAGGUUUUCGGAUCGUAAAGCUCUGUUGUAAGAGAAGAACGAGUGUGAGAGUGGAAAGUUCACACUGUGACGGUAUCUUACCAGAAAGGGACGGCUAACUACGUG
rnacentral:rRNA from 1 species